GGAGAGGCUGGCCCAGGGUCUCGCCCGAAAGCCCAUCCACGGUGCAGCCGCCCACACUUAGGAGGAAACUCCAAACCCCGAGCUUCUCACCGAGGAGGAAAGGGUGUGAAACCCACAUCAGGCUCCCCAGCAUUCGACAUGUGCACCUCAGAGAAAACAUUUCGGCGAUACCCACUAUAAGCCACUGCCUCUUGGGAAUAUUCUGCCCCGAUUCUUCUGUACUUCCUAGAGGACUACCAGCCAAUAUGCUUCGCCACGGGAAGACAGCUGCCUAAGAAGGUGCUAGACCUUUGUGACGAUUGGUACCACAUCUUUCUGCCCUGGGAAAGGACAUGAGAGCAAACACGGACCCAAUUGACAUUUGGGGAGGGAGUCUCCCGGACAAACCACUUGUGGCAUCCUUGGAAAUAUGUCUGGAUGACUAUGCAUUAUGGGAAGGCCUGCUAUUGUCCUAAACUGGAGAUCGCAUCCACGGAGCGUUCUGAUUAAAAGCAACCUCAAGCAAGGACAUAGCUCAGAUUCGAAGCUACACCAUUUGCUGGCCCCCGGAUCGGUAACUACUUGACCUUUCCAAGGAAUCCUGACUCGGGGCAGCUUAACCUAAUAAUGCACGGUGGGCUUAAGGAGCCCCGGUCUGCUUCUCUUCUCCUCGAAUGCCCUUCGGGGCUCAUCUAACGCGGCAUCUUCUUCGCAACCGACUUGGUAUUUGUGAUCAGCUUAGAAGGCCGAGGAACACUAGACUAAAUCAAGUUUUCCAUGUCCUAACCU